rnacentral:rRNA from 1 species
GCAAGUCGAGCGAGAAAGGGAGCUUCGGUUCCCGAGUAAAGCGGCGGACGGGUGAGUAACACGUGGGUAAUCUGCCCUCGGGUGGGGAAUAACUCAGGGAAACCUGGGCUAAUUCCGCAUGAUAUUCCCGAUACUCAAGUAUUGGAAAUCAAAGCUGGGGACCCUUCGGGGCCUGGCGCCUGAGGAGGAGCCCGCGGCCAAUUAGCUUGUUGGUGGGGUAAUGGCCCACCAAGGCUUCGAUUGGUAGCCGGCCUGAGAGGGCGGACGGUCACACUGGGACUGAGACACGGCCCAGACUCCUACGGGAGGCAGCAGUGGGGAAUUUUUGUCAAUGGGGGAAACCCUGAACAAGCAACGCCGCGUGGAGGACGAAGACCCUCGGGUUGUAAACUCCUGUCGGAGGGGACGAAAGUGCAGGUGGUUAAUACCCAUCAGUAUUGACGGUACCCUACGAGGAAGCCCCGGCUAACUCCGUGCCAGCAGCCGCGGUAAUACGGGGGGGGCAAGCGUUGUUCGGAAUUACUGGGCGUAAAGGGCGCGUAGGCGGACCAGACAGUCUCUCGUGAAAUCCCACGGCUCAACCGUGGAACUGCGGGAGAUACUACUGGUCUUGAGUUCGGGAGAGGAGUGUGGAAUUCCCAGUGUA